GUUCACACGUGCUUCUACAUAUAUGAGUUUUUUAAGUUCUGAGUUCUAACUGAGUACUUAUCUACCCAAAUCUUGAAGGGUUUUGUGAAAAUCGGCGGAGCUGGGGAAUAUUGUACCCGUGAUGGGAUUUUGUAUAUGUCCAUUGGAGACUCCGACAAGGUUAUUGUGGAGUACUAGCUUCUUUCGUCAUAAGUUCGUGAUCUUCUGAGA